GACGAACGCUGGCGGCGUGCUUAACACAUGCAAGUCGAACGGUGAAGCGCCUUCCUUUUUGGUGGGUGUGGAUGAGUGGCGAACGGGUGAGUAACACGUGAGUAACCUGCCCCCUUCUUCUGGAUAACCGCAUGAAAGUGUGGCUAAUACGGGAUAUUCUGGGUCUGUCGCAUGAUGGGUCUGGGAAAGAUAUUGUUUCGGUGGGGGAUGGGCUCGCGGCCUAUCAGCUUGUUGGUGGGGUGAUGGCCUACCAAGGCGGUGACGGGUAGCCGGCCUGAGAGGGUGGACGGUCCCACUGGGACUGAGACACGGCCCCGACUCCUAGGGGAGGCAGCAGUGGGGAAUAUUGCACAAUGGGCGCAAGCCUGAUGCAGCGACGCCGCGUGAGGGAUGGAGGCCUUCGGGUUGUGAACCUCUUUCGCCAGUGAAGCAGGCCUGCCUCGUUUGUGGGUGGGUUGACGGUAGCUGGAUAAGAAGCGCCGGCUAACUACGUG
rnacentral:rRNA from 1 species